rnacentral:tRNA from 1 species
GGAUUGUGGCUUAGCGGUAGAGUACUCUCCUAGCAUGGGCGGGGCCCGGGUUCUAUCCUCAGCACCA